rnacentral:rRNA from 1 species
AACGAACGCUGGCGGCAGGCUUAACACAUGCAAGUCGAACGCACCUUUCGGGGUGAGUGGCAGACGGGUGAGUAACGCGUGGGAAUCUACCCUUCUCUACGGGAUAGCUCCGGGAAACUGGAAUUAAUACCGUAUACGUCCUGAGGGAGAAAGAUUUAUCGGGGAAGGAUGUGCCCGCGUUGGAUUAGCUAGUUGGUGGGGUAAAGGCCUACCAAGGAGACGAUCCAUAGCUGGUCUAAGAGGAUGAUCAGCAACAUUGGGACUGAGACACGGCCCAAACUCCUACGGGAGGCAGCCGUGGGGAAUAUUGGACAAUGGGGGAAAGCCUGAUCCAGCCAUGCCGCGUGAGUGAUGAAGGCCCUAGGGUUGUAAAGCUCUUUCAGUGGGGACGAUAAUGACGGUACCCACAGAAGAAGCCCAGGCUACCUUCGUG